UAAGUAGGUAGUGAAAUCUGGUGGCUCAACCAUUCAGACUAUUACCUAAACUGGUCGUCUCGAGAAUGUUAGGGGUAGCUGGAAUUUCUAGUGUAGGAGUGAAAUCCGUAGAUAUUAGAAAGAACACCGAUAGCGUAGGCAGGCUACUGGGACAUUUCUGACACUAAGGCACGAAAGCGUAGGGAGCAAACGGGAUUAGAUACCCCGGUAGUCUACGCUGUAAACGAUGGAUACUA
rnacentral:rRNA from 1 species